GGAACUGGGCAGAUGACUGAAGAGAUGUGCUAGUAAUUAGAAUUUCAUUUUCCACACACACACACACACAUUUUGAAAGUCUAGAAUAAUUAAUUGUUGUUUGCUUGUUUUUGCAUUACAGUGAAUGAUUUGGGAGGGGACUUCAAAGGAGUUGGUAAAGGCUCCUUAGCUGCUGAUAAGGUUGUUGAAGAAAUAAGAAGGAGAGGUGGAAAAGCAGUGGCCAACUAUGAUUCAGUGGAAGAAGGAGAGAAGGUUGUGAAGACAGCCCUGGAUGCUUUUGGAAGAAUAGGUGAUGUUUCUUUGUGUUAUGGCUCUUGUGGAGCAACUUCUACCUUCCUAAUGAAAUAUUUUUAAGUUGACUUUCAUUUACUAAACAGAUACCUCUUUCCUCAUAAUCACAUUUUAAAAUUUGAUUUAUAAGUUAAUUAUUGUACUUAUUUCAUAAAGGGUUUAAUUGAGGUGGCAAUUUUAUGGAUAUAGUGUUGAGUUUGUUUUUUUGCACCUUAAGUGCUUUAAAAAACUUACGAGCGUUUACUCAGUGCCCUUUUUAAAAUAAUUCAGUUAAACCUCAAAGAUGUUUAUAAGAUUAAAAAAUAAACCAAUAUUUUGGCAAUAGAGUACCCAGUGGAUUCUUUUGGAUAAUUAUAAUAAUUUGGAUUAAAAUAAUCCAAUAUCUUGCAAAUUACUUAAGAUGAUUUCUCUAUAAU
rnacentral:lncRNA from 10 species